rnacentral:lncRNA from 1 species
UCACAGAAGAGUGACAGGCUAUGUGAAUCCAGCCGUGGAUGUGUGUUCAUGUGCAUAAGAAAAGACAGUAUGCCUUUCUCUCCCCCAGCAUGACAGCUUCAAAAUACACCCGUACACUUUUUCCGUGCAAUCUGUGAGAGCGGAAUGGAGUGCCUUGCUUGGGUACACACCAGCUAGCGCUGACUAAGUGGUCGACUGGACACCUGAAUGAGAGCAGGGCGACAACAAGAUGCCCCGUCUGACGAGCGGCGACGUCGGCGCCCCGUGGCAGAGGAGGGGAACGCGGGGGCGCAUCUCACCGACUCCCAGCGCGAGCCCCGCCGCCGGCUCUGCAGCCUGCGGCUGC